AAGUCCCAAGAUGACCUACCUUCAGGUACAGCGGGAUCCAGGGGUUCCAACAGUGAGGCCAAGGAGCAGCCUCUCAUUACUGCUUAGCUCAGUGUCCUUCUGGUUAUUGGCUCCAGCCCAAGGGAAGACUCUGGUCACCAGACUCACAUGUUUUCCAGGUUGUUAACUUCCAAUACCCAUUUAGCAAUCCAGGUAAGACUUUGAGCGGCCUCGCUUAGAACAGACAACUACACCUGGAUCAACCACUGUUGCUCGGGGGCCCAGAGCAUUGCGAUUGGCUACUCUGGAGUUACAUGACCUACCCUGUGGUCAGGAAGGGGAUGCUGGUGGAUGUGGAGACUGGUAGCUCUGCUGGGGAUGACAUAGAAUAAAGAAGAGAGUUAUCCAAAGUCAGGAGGGGUGUUGGACUGACAGAAACAAAGGAUAUCUACCCCACAUGGACACCCCUAGAGAACGAAAGUACUUGCUUCUGGUUCUUGCUUAGGUCUCUCUCUGAGUCAGUGCUAGUCCUGGGACAGUUGUUCUAAGGUCAUCAGGUGAAUUCUGUCAGUUCAGAGAUAAAUAUAGCUUCCAAGCCAAGGAACAUGACUUGCAAAAGAAGGAAGAGUUGCUGCUGAGCUGUGUGAAUCUGAACUGUGAGUAGAAGCCCCAGGCUAUAUCUGUCUCUUUGGCUUAGAACAGAUGGGACCCAGGCAACUUUUCACUCAACCAGCUGGGUUGUACGGAUAUCUCAUGCUCUGCUUGCUUUUAGGUCAGUGCCAUGCACACCAGGAUACGUGGAAUGUGUGUGAGUGAAUCGUGCACGUCUGUGUUCAACAAGGAAAGGAAACACCAGGAUUGCAGGAGACACGAAACGAGUAAGAGUUUGCUGACUCCCAACACAGGUCCUCUUCGUGCGAGCAAAGGCUGGCUUUCCUGGAAAACUGGCUUCCUUCAGAACUCUGGUCCACUCUGAUACCAAACGUGGAUGCUUGUGGAAUUUGCCAGUUAUUGGGCUGAGGGGACCCUUCCCCUGGCGAAGCAGAAAAGCAUCAAACAAAAGUUUCCUCUGUGCCUGUGGGCUACCCGCCUACCUCUGCCGUGACACCAGCCACAUCCUCAUGCCUUAACGUUAACAGGUUGUCUGCAGUCCCUUGUGGGGUUCUAAGACUCAAUCCAUAGACUCAUGCAUGUUUUGAGAGCCCCAGAAUCAAAGCUGGAGAGGUGACUUUAGGAGAUUAACAGUCAUGAUUUAUUGUCCAAACCAGAACCUUUUGAGAGUGAAAGGGCGUGCUAUUAGUCAUGAUUCCAGGACUACAGGUGUUGGGUGGCACAUUUGGUCUUCUCAAUAUUUAUUGAGCCCUUGUUAGUAAUUUAACUCAUCCUUUAAUACAGUCUUCCCUUGAAUCCUCAUAAUAACUGUAUUGACUAGACAGUAUUCCCAUUUUACAGAUGAUGAGGGUUGAAGGAGUAGUUCAUGUACAGUGACGACUCUAUAGUUGUGCCCUGGUAAGAGCAGGCAUGAGAAGGAAUUUGGACUGAAGUCUUAUGCCAAAAUGGAUGUACCUUGCACUACAGUAUGUGGUUUCUUACCUAUAAUUCAGUGAUUUUUUCCUUUUUUCUAAAAAAAGACCUAGGUUCUAAGGAGACAUAAGAUGCUAGUUAGCUACCAAGACACUCCUGAAGGCAAGGGGAAGACCAUCAAAAGAGCAACUCCAUCUUCAUGUUUAAGAUAUUGGCCAAGUGGAUGAAACUUCAUUUACUGGGAGGAAGGGGAUUUCUACUAUUUGAAAUUAAAAAAUAGGAAGAAAGAUUGAAGAAGAAAAAGGAGAAGAAGAGAAAGGAAAAGAGGAAGAUGGAAAGAGAGGAAGAGAAGGAAGGAAGAAAGGAAAAUAGGAAGGAAAUGAGAGAGGCAGGGAAAGAUCAUCGUUGCACUUUAAGCCCCUGGGUUUGAAACUGCAAAGUGGAGUCCCAGA
rnacentral:lncRNA from 1 species